GCAAGUCUGGUGCCAGCAGCCGCGGUAAUUCCAGCUCCAAUAGCGUAUAUUAAAGUUGUUGCAGUUAAAAAGCUCGUAGUUGAAUUUCGGGAUCAAUAUUUCGGUCAUGCCGUUGGUAUGCACUGUUAUCAUUGAUUUCUCACCUUCUAAAGAACCAUAAUGCCAUUAAUUUGGUGUUACGGGGAAUUAGGACUGUUACCUUGAAAAAAUUAGAGUGUUUAAAGCAGGCUCACGCUUGAAUACAUUAGCAUGGAAUAAUGAAAUAGGACAUCCGAUUCUAUUUUGUUGGUUUCUAGGAUCGAUGUAAUGAUUAAUAGGGAUAGUUGGGGGCAUUAGUAUUCAAUUGUCAGAGGUGAAAUUCUUGGAUUUAUUGAAGACUAACUACUGUGAAAGCAUUUGCCAAGGAUGUUUUCAUUAAUCAAGAACGAAAGUUAGGGGAUCGAAGACGAUCAGAUACCGUCGUAGUCUUAACCAUAAACUAUGCCGACUAGGGAUCGGAUGAUGUUAAUUUUUUAAUGACUCAUUCGGCGCCUUACGGGAAAC
rnacentral:rRNA from 1 species